UUGAGCACGGCGACGGCCCCGCCGGGCCCGUGCACCUCGAAGGCGGGGGGCUCGUCCCCCGGCGCGGCCGCGCCCGCCUCGGGCUGGUGGUAGCUGAACGAGGCGGAGGCGAUGUCGAUGUGCCCGAGCGGCAGCGGCUCCUGCGGCCCCUUGAAGUAGUAGAGGCUAGAAUAUCAGAUUCUGUGAUUCUGCUGUCAAAAGGUGAGGACUUCUUAGUAAAUGCAGACAGUAAGAAGGGCUGAUCCUGCUUUAAUAACAGGUCAUUAUGGACAAAGUGGCCACAGGACCAAGCCUGGUAGAGUUCAAGAAGCUUUCAGACAAGGCUCUCAGGCACAGGGUGGGAUUCUUGGAGUGUCCUGUGCAGGGCCAGGAGUUGGACUCGCUGAUCCUUGUGGUCCCUUCCAACUCAGCAUAUGCUGUGAGUCCAUGAGCAGAUGUCUAAGUAGGAGAUCAUUUCCUUUUAACAGGGGGCAAAAAUCUGGUGGAUAGCCAUUUAUUUCUGAGUGCCACUGAAGUAACCCUGAGUACAGAUUGCUAAAAAAGAUUCCCAGUGAUCAGCAUGGGUUCACUCUCAGUGCUGGUGGUGUGAGGAGCAGCUCAGACCCACUGGGGAUGGAAGGCCUGGGAAAAAGCUGGAUCUCACUUCUGGACAGAGAAACACUUUCUCAGACUGAGCUGAAAACCAUCAAGUAAACAGAGGCACCUUGUACCUGCUGGCUCAGAGCUGUACAUGAGGGACCAGAACAGGCUUCAGGGAUGUACCAGAGGUUAAUUACCAGUUUGUAAUUCCCCUCCACUUAUCUGUCAUAUGAAGUUUGGAUAUUUUCUUCCGUUUCACACAGAGUCUCGUGAAGAACGAGACAGUAAAAAUACUGGUUGGUGUAAAUCUGUUUUCCAUCUCUCACAGAGCCUGAACAGUCUUCAGUUCUCACCCCCUGAGCCAUCAGCCACCGAUUCCCAGAGCCUGCCAGGGUGCAGAGCACAGAGGAAGCUUGGUCUGUGCUGAAUUGCCCAGGCUGUGACUAAGCCCUCAGCAAUGAGCUGCCUUGCUCCUGGCAGGCUGCCACAGCCACUGAUUUCACUGGAGAAAAGUUACAGUAAAAAAGGGGGGAGGCUGGACCGGUGCCCACAAGCCUCUUUAGCAGGGUUAAAACACUCUGUCCUACAUUUGCAGGCACAUAUGGCCUCAAUCUGCAUGUGGAGAGGAGGGGACAGAGGAUGGUGUGUUACUGCAGGGCUGGAGAGCACACCCCCAACAGCACAGGAGGCCUGUGUGUGCAAAAUGGGUACACAGGAGUCAAGGAUUUACCUGUAAAAACACUUGGAUCUGAGCAGGGAAGGAGGAGCCUC